AUACGUAGGGUGCAAGCGUUAAUCGGAAUUACUGGGCGUAAAGCGUGCGCAGGCGGUUUUGUAAGAAAGUGGUGAAAUCCCCGGGCCCAACCUGGGAACUGCCAUUGUGACUGCAAGGCUGGAGUGCGGCAGAGGGGGAUGGAAUUCCGCGUGUAGCAGUGAAAUGCGUAGAUAUGCGGAGGAACACCGAUGGCGAAGGCAAUCCCCUGGGCCUGCACUGACGCUCAUGCACGAAAGCGUGGGGAGCAAACAGGAUUAGAUACCCUGGUAGUCCACGCCCUAAACGAUGUCAACUGGUUGUUGGGGAUUUAUUUUCUCAGUAACGAAGCUAACGCGUGAAGUUGACCGCCUGGGGAGUACGGCCGCAAGGUUAAAACUCAAAUGAAUUGGCGGGG
rnacentral:rRNA from 1 species